rnacentral:tRNA from 1 species
GCGCCGGUGGUGUAAGGCGAACAUCGCGGCUCGGGAAGCAAAAAGUGCGGGUUCGAGUCCCGCCUGGCGCA